CAUGGAUAUAUUUCAGCGCUGUCUACCUCAUAUCCACUAGAGCACUGGUUCUUAACCUUGGGUUACUCGGGAGUUUUGGACUGCAACUCCCAGAAGCCUUCACCACCAGCUGUCCUGACUGGGGUUUCUGGGAGUUGCAGUUCAAAAGCAUCCGAGUAACAAAGGUUAAAAACCACUGCACUAGAGUAUGUUCUCAGAUUCUGACAGUUGCAUUAGAAAUAAAUCAAACUUGCUUCUAAUUUCUUUCUUUCUUUCUUUCUUUCUUUCUUUCUUUCUUUCUUUCUUUCUUUCUUUCUUUCUUUCUUUCUUUCUUUCUUUCUUUCUUUCUUUCUAGAAUGUCUAUCCUUUUCACAGCUCAAGCUCCCCUUAUUCCCUUGCUGCUAUGUGAACAUGCUGGGAAAACAUCACCUGCUAAAUGUGACCUCAUCCUGCGGCACGGUAGGGAUAAUGGAAAAGACUCUCGGGUCGUGAGCGAUGUGAGGAGUAUUGAGAAACUACCCAGGGAUUAUUCGUAACAGGACAACUACUGCUGGCAUCAUACACAUAACAUGUUCACAGGCAAUGUUAUCUCUCACAUGUUGCCUUGGGGACCUAAUAGAUAGAUAGCAAUGUCUUUUUCUCCAUGUUUUAACGUUAACGGUAACUUUUUUAAGAACGUGUAAUGAAUAAGAUUUACAUGACUUUCAAAACAUUGUUUUAAGGACCAUGGAGGGGGCAUGUGUUGGCUAUUUUGGACCAUCUUUUCUAUCAUUAAGAUUUUGCUUAAAAUAAUAAUACAUGGAUAAAUACAUUUAUGAAAUAAUAAUUUAGAUUUACUUAUAAAAUAAUGAGUAACAGUAACAGUAAUGUAUUAUUGCGGUGUGUUUUUUAAAGUCUACUACUAAUCCUGUCCUAUUUGGGGUUUUUUAAAAUGACUGUUUCAAAAUACCACUUUUGGCUCCCUAAAUUAAAGCUCAGUGGAGAGAAAAUGCGUGUUGGAUCCCCUAUGGGGAGAAAGGGGACAUAUAAAUAACUUAAAUAAAUAAACAUUGUCUCUUUGUGGCA
rnacentral:lncRNA from 1 species